rnacentral:rRNA from 1 species
GUGUCGGGGGAUCGACCCCCUCGGUGUCGUAGCCAACGCGUUAAGUGUUCCGCCUGGGGAGUACGCACGCAAGUGUGAAACUCAAAGGAAUUGACGGGGGCCCGCACAAGCGGUGGAGUAUGUGGUUUAAUUCGAUGCAACGCGAAGAACCUUACCAGGGUUUGACAUCCUGCGAAUCUCUUGGAAACAGGAGAGUGCCUUCGGGAACGCAGUGACAGGUGGUGCAUGGCUGUCGUCAGCUCGUGUCGUGAGAUGUUGGGUUAAGUCCCGCAACGAGCGCAACCCACGUCUUUAGUUGCCAGCAUUUAGUUGGGCACUCUAGAGAGACUGCCGGUGAUAAACCGGAGGAAGGUGUGGAUGACGUCAAGUCAUCAUGCCCCUUACAUCCUGGGCUACACACGUACUACAAUGCUACGGACAAAGGGCAGCAAGUUCGCGAGGACAAGCAAAUCCCAUAAACCGUGGCUCAGUUCAGAUCGUAGGCUGCAACUCGCCUACGUGAAGGCGGAAUCGCUAGUAAUCGCAGGUCAGCAUACUGCGGUGAAUACGUUCCCGGGCUUUGUACACACCGCCCGUCACACCAUGGAAGUUGGCCACGCCCGAAGCCGUUACUCCAACCCUUGUGGAGGAGGACGUCGAAGGUGGGGCUGAUGACUGGGGUGAAGUCGUAACAAGGUAGCCGUACCGGAAGGUGCGGCUGGAUCACCUCCUAA